UACGGAGGGGGGCUAGCGUUGUUCGGAAUUACUGGGCGUAAAGCGCACGUAGGCGGCUUUGUAAGUUAGAGGUGAAAGCCCGGGGCUCAACUCCGGAAUUGCCUUUAAGACUGCAUCGCUAGAAUUUGUGGAGAGGUAAGUGGAAUUCCGAGUGUAGAGGUGAAAUUCGUAGAUAUUCGGAAGAACACCAGUGGCGAAGGCGACUUACUGGACACAUAUUGACGCUGAGGUGCGAAAGCGUGGGGAGCAAACAGG
rnacentral:rRNA from 1 species